CCUUCCUCUCCUCUGAAGACCCACUGAGGGUGGAGCUCAGUCAGAGAGCUGUUGAGGGACUGGUUAGGAAGAACACUUCUACAGCCAGAGAGACAAUGUCAAAAGCCCAUCCUGGUAGAUCUGAACCUAAUGCAGCUUGGAGUGAUCGGAUGACAGACAUCACAUUUAGGGGCAGUCAAAAGCAGAGCUGUGGGAGACCACCUCAAUCCCCUGGUAGAGCCGGAGGUGGUGUUUACCACUCCACCACACCUGCAGCAGGCUUGAAACGUGGGAUUGAUACUGAUUUUCAUACUAAGAGGGACCAAGAGUCUGUUGAUUGGUCAGUCAUUGGGUUCAUUUGUUGAAAUCAAAUCCAGCUUUAUUUAUACAGCACAUUUCAGACAUGGAUGCAACACAAUGGCUUCACAGGAAAAAACAAGUAAAGUAAUGAAAAGAAACAGAAAUAUUUAGUACACAACAAACAGAAGACUAACAACUGAAUGGGCACCCCAAGGAAAUGCCAUGGAUUAAAAUAUUAAUUGGAUGCAAUAUCCAACCCAAAAUACAAGCUUGUUGUUUUUUUAGGAGGGGCUCUGAAAGACUAUGGGAGUGUCCACUGAAUCUUGACAAGUAACAACAACUGGGACCGAAAAGACACCCACUAAAUCUGUCCAUGAAGAGGCAAACAAAAGAAAAACCCACAACAAACUUAGACAGGACGCAACCAAAAAGGUGGUUAAAAUAAUUUAUUACAAUCAAUACCAUUCAUACUAUUACAAAAUCAUAAUUCUCAUUCAUUCUUAAUUAAUUAUAUUUACAAAAACAUCAAACAAAAACAAACCUCAGGGGAGCAUCGUCCCUCCCCGUCAUACCUAACCAAUACCUAACCCUUUCCCUAUCUCCCCUUCCCUAAUCUAUCCCCUUMCCAAACUCACUCUAACACUCCCAGCCCUAAACCCCCUUUCCACCUCUCCCGUGCCGCAUGCUUCCCCCACUUCCUCUCCUCCCUCUUCAUCUUCCCCCUCAAAUCACCUU
rnacentral:lncRNA from 1 species